CACGGGGGACGUUCGGGGACAGAUUAAUGGGGCCAGGCGAGCCGGGCAGGGGAUGUGUGGGGACAAGGGAUGACCGAGGACAAGUGGCAGGUGUGUGGGGACAGACAGCAAAGAGCAGUGCACUGGAGAUUGCUGUACUUGCAACAGAGGAGCUUCUUCCUGGUCCCUUAACUAAGGUAACACCAUGCAUGAAAUCCAAGGGAAUGGCCUUCAGUUAUGGAAGAGACACUGGAACAGCAAUUAAGAUUGCAACUCAUACACAGUUAACCAUUGUGGGCUAAAGUAAAAGUUGGAUGAAUCAUUUUCCAGCCAUAUAAAUCACUGAAGUUGUUCUAUUCAUCACAAAGGUAAGCCAACCAUGUAAUGAAUUAUACAAUGUGUUAUUUUCCUAUGCAUGUUAUUCCCAUAGUUUGCUCUGUUGUUCAAAGUCUAUUUGUAUGAGGGGAUUUUUUUGCAAAUACUUUUAAAAUGAUGAAUAAUCUUUACUUAUAAGGCUAAAAAUACAUGCCAGCUAUUACUGUAUAUUAAAUCUGACAGCAGUUAAAGUGUUGGUAUCUGAA